CCUCAAAUGCAUUCUCUAUUUCUCUCUUCAUAGAUAUUUCAGCUUUCUUUAUGUCAGCAUCAGUCCCUCCAACAACUUCUACUGCAACGGCCGAGGCCACUUAAGCACAACAAAAUAUUCCUCUUACCUCCCAGAAUAUGUUGAGAACAGACUCCAUAAAACAUAGCAGCAGCAACAGUAGAUAUGGCAAAUGCAACAACCAAUAUUCCUUCAACAAUUGGUUGCUGCAUUGGCGGUAUCUGCUUUUGCUGGUGUUUGUGAAGUCUCUUGUUCAUAUAUUCGGGGAACCUUCGGCUGUUGCUGAAGAGCAACAUUUGUUGCUUAAGUGGCUUUGGCCGUUGCUCGUGGACUGUUGUUGGAGGGGCUGCUGCUGCUUCUGUAUCAGUGAAGAGGGUUGCUGCUGUUUUAGCUGAGAACGACGCAGUUGCAACUGCAGUUAAAUCACCCUGAUACUCCAUAAUUAUUAGAUGAUUCUUCAAGUUCAAUCCAAUCCUGGACAACUUUUAGUAUAAUCAUUUUACAAGUCGAGCCUUAAAAUAACUGGUAAAGUUGCUCCCAUAUGACCUGGAGGUCAUAGGUUCGAGCGGUGAAAACAUUCUAUUGUAGAAAUGCAAGGUAAGAUUGCAUACUUAAACUCUUGUGGUUCUACACUAUUUUACUGUUGUAGUCAUCUGUAUUAUUAUAGACCUUUCCUCGCUUCUACACUUGUUAUACGGACUAAGCCCCCUGAUAAUUUGAUCAAAAUCAAUUCCGAUGGAAGCAGAAAACUUGAUUAUCACUUUUGCUAAAAAAGCUCCAAUUUUUAUACUAACAAUUAUGCUGAACUGUCAGCCUCUCAUUUUGUUAUUUUGUGGUGUAUUUUAACAAUUGCAAAACAUCAUUUUGGAGCUUGAUUCUCCUUUAGUGGAUGCUAUGAUUCAAGGCAACAAGAAGCCCCCAUGGACUUGGAGACAAACAUCGUCAAAUAUAAAAGAUGCAAAACUUGAUUUGACCCUUUCAAGUGAUAGUCAAGCACUGCUACAGAAUCAAACUCGGUAGCAGAUAUUCCGGUGAAGCAUGUAGCAGAUUCCAACAACAUGAGGAGACCUUCUUCUCAAAUUUUUUAGAUCUUCCUAGGGAGACCAGAGGAUACUUCAGGAUGGAUAAACUGGAACUGGCUAGUUUCACAAGGCAUGUUAAAAGAAAGAAUUCAAACCCCUAACUGUAAGGUGGUUUGUACUUGUAGGAAACUUAUACCACGUUGGUGGAAUAGGAAGGAAGGAGAAGGUUUAAGUACUUUGACCCUUUAGGUGUACUUAGAUAUGUAAGUGCACCAAAUGUCCUAUAUAUAUAUAUAUAUUAUAAAAAUCAAAGAACUUGAUGUUCAAUUUUAUUU